AUGGUCACAUCUUCGUCUCACAAGGCACCAAGUGGACCGAUGACAAGGGCUCAUGCAAGAGUCAUCGAAACCGAGGUGAACUCCCUCAUUCAACUUCCUUUCGAAUCACAUGAGACAUGGCUACUACCUCAAGCGGAGACACUUUGCAUAUUUAGGUACCAAAGGACGAGCCAUGGAGAAGCUAGAGAACAAGGCCAAGCGGUUGAGGAAGAAGAAUGUGAAGACGAAGAGCAAACGAGACAAGUCAACAUCCACCCGGAUGAUCUAGACCUCCUUCCAGACGAUCCAGCCAAGGCGUCCGAAGACACCCGUAGCCUCUCCAUGAAGCCGGAUCAUCUGGAACUCCACCCAGAUCAUUCGGACGAAUCCGGACGUCCGGACGACGUCCUGGACAUCCGACCCGGCCACAACAGCAGUGACCGAGCCGCAUCAUCCGGGUGA
rnacentral:rRNA from 1 species